GAUGAACGCUGGCGGCGUGCCUAAUACAUGCAAGUCGAGCGAACAGACGAGAGUGCUUGCACUCUCUGACGUUCGCGGCGGACGGGUGAGUAACACGUGGGUAACCUACCUAUAAGACUGGGAUAACUUCGGGAAACCGGAGCUAAUACCGGAUAAUAUUUAGCUUCGCAUGAAGCAAUAGUGAAAGACGGUUCUGCUGUCACUUAUAGAUGGACCCGCGGUGUAUUAGCUAGUUGGUGAGGUAACGGCUCACCAAGGCAACGAUACAUAGCCGACCUGAGAGGGUGAUCGGCCACACUGGAACUGAGACACGGCCCAGACUCCUACGGGAGGCAGCAGUAGGGAAUCUUCCGCAAUGGACGAAAGUCUGACGGAGCAAUGCCGCGUGAGUGAUGAAGGUUUUCGGAUCGUAAAACUCUGUUGUAAGGGAAGAACAAGUACGUUAGCAACUGAACGUACCUUGACGGUACCUUACCAGAAAGCCACGGCUAACUACGUG
rnacentral:rRNA from 1 species